GGAUGUGAAGGCGAUCUGGCUGUGACUUCUGUGCCCCCAUUGAUUGCCAGGGUUGAUUUGCUUGAUCUGGAUGGCUAGACAGAUAUCCCCUUCCUCCCUCUCCACUCCAUGUGUCCCUCCUCAAGCUGUGUGAAGCUGUGUGUGUCAAAGGGGCUGGCCACCCUCAAAUAUGACCUCUGCUAGAACCUCCAAACAAGCUCUCAAAGGGGCGGGGGCCAAGGGAAUGAGAAAGUGCCUGAGGUGUAUUAUGUACUCCCCAG
rnacentral:snRNA from 1 species